AGAGUUUGAUCCUGGCUCAGGAUGAACGCUGGCGGCAUGCCUAAUACAUGCAAGUCGAACGAGAAUCAUUGAGGUGCUUGCACCACAUUGGUUCUAGUGGCGAACGGGUGAGUAACACGUGAGAAAUCUGCCCUUUAGACUGGGAUAACUACUGGAAACGGUUUGUAAUACCGGAUGUCUUCUUUGUACCGCAUGGUACUUAGACAAAAGCUUAGAUGCACUAAAGGAUGAUCUCGCGGCGUAUUAGUUAGUUGGUGAGAUAGUGGCUCACCAAGACAAUGAUACGUAGCCGGCCUGAGAGGGUGACCGGCCACACUGGGACUGAGACACGGCCCACACUCCUACGGGAGGCAGCAGUAGGGAAUCAUCGGCAAUGGGGGAAACCCUGACCGUGCAAUGCCGCGUGAGUGAUGAAGGCCUUCGGGUUGUAAAACUCUGUUGUGAAGGAAGAACAACCUAGAUAGAAUCUAGGUCUGACGGUACUUCACCAGAAAGCCAUGGCUAACUACGUGCCAGCAGCCGCGGUAAUACGUAGAUGGCAAGCGUUAUCCGGAUUUAUUGGGCGUAAAGGGUGCUCAGCUGGUUUAUUAAGUUUGUAGUUAAAAUUCGAAGCUCAACUUCGAAGUGCUGCGAAAACUGGUAAACUUGAGUACAGGAGAGGGUAGUGGAAUUCCAUGUGAAGCGGUAAAAUGCGUAGAUAUAUGGAGGAACACCAGUGGCGAAGGCGGCUACCUGGCCUGUAACUGACGGUCAAGCACGAAAGCGUGGGGAGAAAAAAGGAUUAAAUACCCUAAUAAUCCCCCCCCGUAAACAAUGAAAUACUAGUGGUUGGAAAAA
rnacentral:rRNA from 1 species